UAACGGAGGAUCCAAGCGUUAUCCGGAUUCAUUGGGUUUAAAGGGUGCGUAGGCGGAAUGAUAAGUCAGUGGUGAAAUCCUGCAGCUUAACUGCAGAACUGCCAUUGAUACUGUCAAUCUUGAGUAUAUUUGAUGUGGGCGGAAUGUGUCAUGUAGCGGUGAAAUGCUUAGAUAUGACACAGAACACCGAUUGCGAAGGCAGCUCACAAAAACUAUAACUGACGC
rnacentral:rRNA from 1 species